rnacentral:lncRNA from 1 species
AUUUAAUCCUGUAACUUACAUGAAAUUCAUUGUCCACCUUCUCUCAAAAGAUUUUUAAGGGUAACUAGAAUCUUAAAUUUCCAUGGUUACAUCUCACUACAUUCCUUUUACCUCUGAAUUUUCAGUAUAUAUUUUUGUGUUGAAUCCUAUGGAUCCUAGCCACUUUCCUUUUUUUUUUUUUUUUUUGUCUCUUUACUUAUGGAAUUUGUUAUUUCUCCUUCAUUUUCUAAAGGUUUUUUCAAGGCUUUAACAGAAGUUUGGGUAUAAUUAUUAAGAAUCACUAUAGUAUAAGCACAGUCUAGAAACCAAUUAAAUUUUCUCUGUGUUACAUAUCAAUUUGGUAAGGACUAUGUAAUUCCUGCCAUGAGGUGGAAAUACUGGAUUCUUCUCUUGGCCCUAAGUUUCGUUUAUUGACCUGUUGUUGGUCCAUCUCUCUAGAACUCUCGGCUGAGCUUCAGGCCUUACAUUCAGUAUGUAUUCUAUCUCAUUGUUGGCAUUUCAAAUGUAUCUCAACUUCAUAUAUCUAGACUGAAUUCAUCAUCUUUCUUUCCAAAACAGGCCUUCUCUCAGUAUUUCUUAUCUAAGUAACUUUGGUAAUUUUGCCAUUUGUUUAUUGCUUAAAAAUCAGUAACCCAGUCCAGUCUUAGAACAAUGUUAUCUUCAAUGCAGCCCAAAAUAAACAGAAAUUAAAAUAUUUUAAUCUUUAAGCUCUUUCAAAUAUAUCAGGUGCUACAAGUACAUUGUUAAAUAAAAUAGAUAUUUAAUCACUGGAGUGCAUUGGCGCGAUCUCACCUCACUGCAAGCUCUGCCUCCCAGGUUCAAGCCAUUCUCCUGCCUCAGCCUCGUCACCCAACCACUAGACUUCAGAAUCUCCCAGAAGGUUCUUUUUUCUUCCACAAAUACAUUUUCUUUCAACCAAGGUGUCCUAUUCUGACAUUGUCUCAUUUUACCCGUAUUGUGCUUAUUUCCUGCUCUACAUGCCUUGUCCUCCAGGAGGCUCCAGCUAGUCACUAUGCAACACUCUUGCUCCAUUGUGAUGAGGGAGCGUUUUUCUUCUUCUAAUGCCCGUUGUCAUUUUGUUGCAGUAUCUGACUUCAGCGAUUUGUCUUCUUGUCUCAAUAAGUGUAAGAAGUGGGUAGAGGAUGGAAAGGGAGAAGAAAGGAUUAAAGUUAAGCCUGAAUGUUUCAUUCUCCACCUUAACAUGACCGCAUCUACUAAUAGCCAAUAAAAUGAAUUGGCCUCUCUACUGGGCUGCUUGACCUUCCUCAUGACAUGGCAGUUGGUUUUUCCCAGAGCAGAUAAGAACAACCAUGAUUCAAUAUGUGAGUAGGCUAUACAGGAGACAGGAACCAUUGGGAGCCAUUUUGAACACUCUCUACUACAGGAUCAAAAGCAAAUAAUUACAAAACAGUACAUCAAUGCAACAAUGGCAUUAUAUGUAAGGUAAAUACAUAGGACAGAAUAAUAAAGUCAUAACUGAAUAUGAAGACAUGAUAGAAAUUCUAAUUAGGUAUUAUACUGGAAAAAUAUAAAUGUCCUCAAUAAGUUGAAAUAGAGUAUAUGUAUGUUACAUUUUAGAAGUAAAUAUUAUUUGUUUUCUAUUCAAUACUUCACUACAAAAAUAAGUUAAACUAUACUGUAUUGCUAGUUACAGAAGUAAAGGUUGAAUACAAUUUCUUUAGUACAAUUUUUUUAGAUUCUUUAUUCUAGAUCACAAAAACUUUGACAACUUUUUUUUUAUUUAAGAACAUAGUGCUGAACAUAUCUUUAAGAGCAAAAAACCACAAAUUAUAAUUUGACAAGAAAUAGAAUGGUGACUGUAAUGAAUCAUUUUCUUACUGCCUUGUUUAAUGUUAAUAAAAAUUAACUAAAUAAAAGCUGAAAAUAGCUUACAAUUCAACACUUGUUUGAAGGAACAGGAUUUUUGUGAUCAUCCAUUAUACAUCUAAAUGACUUCUAUUGAUACAUAUUAAUCAAUACUGGGCAUAUUAGCAGAUUGUGUCUUUGGAAUAACUUCUAUACCAAGCCUAAUAUUUUUCUGAUAAUCAUUGAUGCAAUUAAUACAUUCAGAUGAAAAGUUUUAAAAUAAUUAAUACGCACUUUUUUUUUUUUUUUUUUUUUUUUGAGACGGAGUCUCCCUCUGUCUCCCAGCCUGG